rnacentral:rRNA from 1 species
UACAGAGGGGGCAAGCGUUGUUCGGAAUUACUGGGCGUAAAGGGCGCGUAGGUGGCCUUCUAAGUUGAACGUGAAAUCCCCGGGCUCAACCCGGGAACUGCGUCCGAUACUGGAAGGCUUGAAUCCGGGAGAGGGAUGCGGAAUUCCAGGUGUAGCGGUGAAAUGCGUAGAUAUCUGGAGGAACACCGGUGGCGAAGGCGGCAUCCUGGACCGGCAUUGACGCUGAGGCGCGAAAGCCAGGGGAGCAAACGGG